rnacentral:misc_RNA from 1 species
ACCCCUUUGUAAACCAUACCAAAUCCACCAACACCAAUGAUCAGUUUUUCGUCGAAAUUGUUAGUGGCUGAUUUAAUGUCAGCAAAAGGGAUCCUCAAGCUGUGAUAACCAUUUGGGCCAGGAGAUGCAUUGACAGUCACUUCAGACAUUCUACUGCGAGAACUACCUCCAUAUACACGUAAAUGUGUCCAACCUGCACUUUCUGC